ACCAUUGUGAUGUGCUCACAGCUAAUGGUCAAGGAUAUUAUGCAACUAUGUUACAAGCACGUUACAAUGAAGAGCACAUGUAUUGGAUGACUAGACAAUCACCAAAUUCGCUUGUAGUUGGUACUGGUAUCUUUCUGAGUUUUGAGAGCAAAAGGUAAGAAAAUUUAUCUCAUCAUUGAUUCAUUUUCCUAUGAUCAAUAGUUUGUGUUAGAUUCACUUAAGAUAUUUAUUGUUAAUCUGUUCAAAGCAGUGAUAGCACAGUCUCUGUAAUUUGUAGUUGUUGUGUUCCUAAACUAGUUACAUUCCAUUUCAGGAAGAAAGGAGUUAUACUUCAAAGUUCAAACACACUGGAAAGUCACCUUGCCUGAAGGUAAAAAAAAAAAUACUUUUAUCAGUUGUGGAUCCGAUUGGAAAACUUUGGGUACGGAUGUGAACAUGUCUGAUCAAGCCACUUUUUCAUUCCAUUCAGA
rnacentral:lncRNA from 1 species